AUUGAACGCUGGCGGCAGGCCUAACACAUGCAAGUCGAACGAGUGGCGGACGGGUGAGUAAUGUCUGGGAAACUGCCUGAUGGAGGGGGAUAACUACUGGAAACGGUAGCUAAUACCGCAUACCAUCAGAUGUGCCCAGAUGGGAUUAGCUUGUUGGUGGGGUAACGGCUCACCAAGGCGACGAUCCCUAGCUGGUCUGAGAGGACGACCAUCUACACUGGAUCUGAGACACGGUCCAGACUCCUACGGGAGGCAGCAUUGGUAAUGAUUGCACAAUGGGCGCAAGCCUGCUGCCGCAGCGCCGCGUGUAUGAAGAAGGCCUCCGGGGUGUAAAGUACUUUCAGCGGGGAGGCGUUCCUCGCAGAAGAAUCACCGCCUAUCUCCGUGCCAGCAGCCGCGGUAAUA
rnacentral:rRNA from 1 species